AACGAACGCUGGCGGCAGGCCUAACACAUGCAAGUCGAACGGACGUAGCAAUACGUUAGUGGCGCACGGGAGAGUAACGCGUGGGAACCUACCUUUUGGUUCGGGAUAACAUCGGGAAACUGGUGCUAAUACCGGAUAAGCCCUUCGGGGGAAAGAUUUAUUGCCGAAAGAUGGGCCCGUGUUGGAUUAGCUAGUUGGUGAGGUAAUGGCUCACCAAGGCAACGAUCCAUAGCUGGUCUGAGAGGAUGAUCAGCCUCACUGGGACUGAGACACGGCCCAGACUCCUACGGGAGGCGGCAGUGGGGAAUAUUGGACAAUGGGGGAAACCCUGAUCCAGCCAUGCCGCGUGAAUGAUGAAGGCCUUCGGGUUGUAAAGUUCUUUUGGUGGGGACGAUGAUGACGGUACCCACAGAAUAAGCUCCGGCUAACUUCGUGCCAGCCGCCGCGGUAACAC
rnacentral:rRNA from 1 species